rnacentral:rRNA from 1 species
CCUACGGGAGGCAGCAGUGGGGAAUAUUGCGCAAUGGGCGAAAGCCUGACGCAGCGACGCAGCGUGAGGGACGAAGGCCUUCGGGUUGUAAACCUCUUUCAGCGGGGACGAAGCGAAAGUGACGGUACCCGCAGAAGAAGCACCGGCUAACUACGUGCCAGCAGCCGCGGUAAUACGUAGGGUGCAAGCAUUGUCCGGAUUUAUUGGGCGUAAAGAGCUCGUAGGCGGCUUGUCACGUCGGAUGUGAAAACUCGGGGCUCAACCCCGAGCCUGCAUUCGAUACGGGCUAGCUAGAGUGUUGCAGGGGAGACUGGAAUUCCUGGUGUAGCGGUGAAAUGCGCAGAUAUCAGGAGGAACACCGGUGGCGAAGGCGGGUCUCUGGGCAACUACUGACGCUGAGGAGCGAAAGCGUGGGGAGCGAACAGGAUUAGAUACCCUGGUAGUCCACGCCGUAAACGGUGGGCGCUAGGUGUGGGGAACCUUCCACGUUCUCUGUGCCGUAGCUAACGCAUUAAGCGCCCCGCCUGGGGAGGUACGGCCGCGAGACGAACUACAAGAAGUAGACGCGNGAGACGNGCCGACGGACGACGACGAGGGAGUAGG